AGUGAACGCUGGCGGUAGGCCUAACACAUGCAAGUCGAACGGCAGCACAGUAAGAGCUUGCUCUUACGGGUGGCGAGUGGCGGACGGGUGAGGAAUACAUCGGAAUCUACUUUUUCGUGGGGGAUAACGUAGGGAAACUUACGCUAAUACCGCAUACGACCUACGGGUGAAAGCAGUGGAUCUUCGGACCUUGCGCGAUUGAAUGAGCCGAUGUCGGAUUAGCAAGUUGGCGGGGUAAAGGCCCACCAAGGCGACGAUCCGUAGCUGGUCUGAGAGGAUGAUCAGCCACACUGGAACUGAGACACGGUCCAGACUCCUACGGGAGGCAGCAGUGGGGAAUAUUGGACAAUGGGCGAAAGCCUGAUCCAGCCAUACCGCGUGGGUGAAGAAGGCCUUCGGGUUGUAAAGCCCUUUUGUUGGGAAAGAAAAGCAGCAGGUUAAUACCCCGCUGUUCUGACGGUACCCAAAGAAUAAGCACCGGCUAACUUCGUG
rnacentral:rRNA from 1 species